rnacentral:snRNA from 1 species
AGCUUUGCUCAGUGGCAGUAUCAUAGUCAAUGAGGUUUAUCCGAGGGGCACAAUUAUUGCUGAUUGAAAACAUUUCCCAAUACCCUGCCAUGAAGACUUGCAAUAUAGUUGGCAUUAGCCAUUUUUGACAGUCUCUACAGAGA